rnacentral:rRNA from 1 species
AGUGGAUGGGGAGCAACCUAGUUGUGCGUGUGUAAAGGUAGUGCCAAGAAAAGCGAUGAUCAUGUUGAAAAUCAAUUCCCGGUACCCGAAACCGACACAGGUGGGCAAGUAGAGAAUACUAAGGGGCGCGAGGUAACUCUCUCCAAGGAACUCGGCAAAAUGACCCCGUAACUUAGGGAGAAGGGGUGCCACCGAGAGGUGGUCGCAGUGAAGAGGCCCAGGCGACUGUUUAGCAAAAACAUAGGUCUCUGCAAACUCGAAAGAGGAGGUAUAGGGGCUGACGCCUGCCCAGUGCCGGAAGGUUAAAGAAGUUGGUCAGUCUUAGGAUGAAGCUAGCGACUGAAGCCCCGGUGAACGGCGGCCGUAACUAUAACGGUCCUAAGGUAGCGAAAUUCCUUGUCGGGUAAGUUCCGACCCGCACGAAAGGCGUAACGAUCUGGGCGCUGUCUCGGAGAGAGGCUCGGCGAAAUAGGAUUGUCUGUGAAGAUACGGACUACCUGCAUUUGGACAGAAAGACCCUAUGAAGCUUUACUAUAGCUUGGAAUUGUGUUCGGGCUUCCUGUGCGCAGGAUAGGUGGGAGGCGUAGAAGGUAUUCUUGUGGGGAUACUGGAGCCAACGGUGAGAUACCACUCUCAGGAGGCUAGAAUUCUAACUUAAUUAAGGACAGUUUCAGGUGGGUAGUUUGACUGGGGCGGUCGCCUCCAAAAAGGUAACGGAGGCGUACAAAGGUUCCCUCAGACUGGUUGGAAAUCAGUCGAAGAGAGCAAAGGCAGAAGGGAGCUUGACUGCGAGAAGUACAGUUCGAGCAGGGUGGAAACUCGGUCUUAGUGAUCCGACGGUGCUGUGUGGAAGGGCCGUCGUUCAACGGAUAAAAGUUACUCUAGGAUAACAGGCUGAUCUCCCCCAAGAGUUCACAUCGACGGGGAGGUUUGGCACCUCGAUGUCGGCUCAUCGCAACCUGGGGCGGAAGUACGUCCCAAGGGUGGGGCUGUUCGCCCAUUAAAGCGGUACGUGAGCUGGGUUCAGAACGUCGUGAGACAGUUCGGUCCAUAUCCGAUGUAGGCGUGAGAAUAUUGAGAGGAGCCUUCCUUAGUACGAGAGGACCGGGAAGGACGCACCGCUGGUGUACCUGUUAUGAUGCCAAUUGUAAACGCAGGGUAGCCAAGUGCGGAGAGGAUAACCGCUGAAAGCAUCUAAGUGGGAAGCCCACCUCAAGAUGAGUAUUCUGGUGUAAGGUCACGGGAAGACGACCCGUAAAUAGGCACGAGGUGGAAGUGCAGAGAUGUAUGAAGCCGAAGUGUACUAAUAGACCGUCGGCUUGAUA